ACGGGUGAGGAACACGUAGGAAUCUACCCUCAAGCGGGGGACAACCAAGGGAAACUUUGGCUAAUACCGCAUAAUCUCGAGAGAGCAAAGCUGCAGCAAUGUGGCACUUGAGGAGGAGCCUGCGUCCGAUUAGCUAGUUGGUAGGGUAAAAGCCUACCAAGGCGAUGAUCGGUAACUGGUCUGAGAGGACGACCAGUCACACUGGGACUGAGACACGGCCCAGACUCCUACGGGAGGCAGCAGUGGGGAAUAUUGGACAAUGGGGGCAACCCUGAUCCAGCGAUGCCGCGUGAGUGAAGAAGGCCUUCGGGUCGUAAAGCUCUUUAGGUUGGGAAGAAGGUUGCGGGAGGAAAUGCCCGUAAUUUGACGGUACCGACAGAAUAAGCACCGGCAAACUCUGUGCCAGCAGCCGCGGUAAUACAGAGGGUGCGAGCGUUAAUCGGAGUUACUGGGCGUAAAGGGCGCGUAGGCGGUCGAGUGUGUGUGAUGUGAAAGCCCCGGGCUUAACCUGGGAAGUGCAUCGCAAACUACUUAACUUGAGUAUAUGAGAGGGUGGCGGAAUUUCCGGUGUAGCGGUG
rnacentral:rRNA from 1 species